rnacentral:rRNA from 1 species
GCCUAACACAUGCAAGUCGAACGAGAAGCCUGAUUCGAUUAGGUGGAGAGUGGCGCACGGGGUGAGUAACACAUGGCUGACCUGCCCUUCAGAGGGGGACAACCACCGGAAACGGUGGCUAAUACCCCAUACGCUCGCCGUGAUUAGCAGGCGGUGAGGAAACCUUCGGGGCUGAGGGAGGGGGCUGUGGCCCAUCAGCUAGUUGGUAGGGUAACGGCCUACCAAGGCAAAGACGGGUAGGGGGCCUGAGAGGGUGACCCCCCACACGGGCACUGAGACACGGGCCCGACUUCUACGGAAGGCAGCAGUGAGGGAUAUUGCCCAAUGGACGGAAGUCUGAGGCAGCAACGCCGCGUGCGGGAUGAAGGCCUUCGGGUUGUAAACCGCUUUUCUGCGCGAAGAGGACGGACGGUAGCGCAGGAAGAAGUCUCGGCUAACUACGUGCCAGCAGCCGCGGUAAAACGUAGGAGGCGAGCGUUAUCCGGAUUUACUGGGUGUAAAGCGCGUGCAGGCGGUCAUGUAAGUGGUGCGUGAAAGCGCCCGGCUCAACCGGGCGAGGCCGUGCCAAACUGCGUGACUGGAGGCAGGUAGAGGCGCGUGGAAUUCCGGGUGUAGUGGUGAACUGCGUAGAUAUCCGGAGGAACACCAGUGGCGAAGGCGGCGCGCUGGGCCUGACCUGACGCUAAGACGCGAAAGCAUGGGGAGCGAACGGGAUUAGAAACCCCGGUAGUCCAUGCUGUAAACGCUGCAGACUAGGUGUUGCGUGCGACGAGUAUGCAGUGCCGAAGCCAACGUGAUAAGUCUGCCACCUGGGGACU